GACGAACGCUGGCGGCGUGCCUAAUACAUGCAAGUCGAGCGGAAUGAUGAAGAAGCUUGCUUCUUCUGAUUUUAGCGGCGGACGGGUGAGUAACACGUGGGCAACCUACCUUGUAGAUUGGGAUAACUCCGGGAAACCGGGGCUAAUACCGGAUAAUCCAUUUUGCUUCAUGGCGAGAUGUUAAAAGGCGGCUUCGGCUGUCACUACGAGAUGGGCCCGCGGCGCAUUAGCUAGUUGGUAGGGUAAUGGCCUACCAAGGCGACGAUGCGUAGCCGACCUGAGAGGUGAUCGGCCACACUGGGACUGAGACACGGCCCAGACUCCUACGGGAGGCAGCAGUAGGGAAUCUUCCACAAUGGACGAAAGUCUGAUGGAGCAACGCCGCGUGAGUGAAGAAGGUUUUCGGAUCGUAAAACUCUGUUGUAAGGGAAGAACACGUACGAGAGUAACUGCUCGUACCUUGACGGUACCUUAUUAGAAAGCCACGGCUAACUACGUG
rnacentral:rRNA from 1 species